GACGAACGCUGGCGGCGUGCUUAACACAUGCAAGUCGAACGGAAAGGCCCUGCUUUUGUGGGGUGCUCGAGUGGCGAACGGGUGAGUAACACGUGAGUAACCUGCCCUUGACUUUGGGAUAACUUCAGGAAACUGGGGCUAAUACCUGAUAGGAUCUCCUGCUGCAUGGUGGGGGUUGGAAAUUUUCGGCGGUUGGGGAUUGACUCGCGGCUUAUCAGCUUGUUGGUGGGGUAGUGGCUUACCAAGGCUUUGACGGGUAUCCGGCCUGAGAGGGUGACCGGCAAAAUUGGGACUGAGAUACGGCCCAGAAUGCUACGGGAGGCAGCAGUGGGGAAUAGUGCACAAUGGGCGGAAGCCUGAUGCAGCAAAGCAGCGUGCGGGAUGACGGCCUUCGGGUUGUAAACCGAUUUCGCCUGUGACGAAGAGUGAGUGACGGUAAUGGGUAAAGAAGCACCGGCUAACUACGUG
rnacentral:rRNA from 1 species